rnacentral:tRNA from 1 species
GCCCCAUUUAGUAUGGUGGUUAUGACACUCGGCUUGUUAUCGAGUGGGCUCGGGUUCGAAUCUCGAAUAAGGCA